AUUGAACGCUGGCGGCAGGCCUAACACAUGCAAGUCGAGCGAGCGGCGGACGGGUGAGUAAUGUAUGGGGACUGCCCGAUAGAGGGGGAUAACUACUGGAAACGGUAGCUAAUACCGCAUACUAUCGGAUAACCCAUAUGGGAUUAGCUAGUAGGUGAGGUAAUGGCUCACCUAGGCGACGAUCCCUAGCUGGUCUGAGAGGAUGAUCAGCCCAACGGGACAUGGGACACGGCCCAGACUCCUACGGGGGCAGCAGUGGGGAAUAUUGGAAAAGGGGCGAAGGCCUGCUGCAGAACGGCGGCGUGUAGGAAGAAGGCCCUAGGGUUGUAAAGUACGUUCAGUCGGGAGGCGUUACCGACAGAAGAAGCACCGGCUAACUCCGUGCCAGCAGCCGCGGUAAUUC
rnacentral:rRNA from 1 species